rnacentral:lncRNA from 1 species
UAGCAGAUUCCGCAGAUGCCACCGUUGGAACCAAUGAAGCAAAUGAUUGACCCAUCAUAUCAUCCGAAGAAACAGAAAAUACCAAAAAGUUCGAAUUCACAGCUAAUAACAUUGAUUCAAUUGGCAUUGACAUAAUAGGAAUAUUUCCAUAUCAUCCGAAGAAACAGAAAAUACCAAAAAGUUUGAAUUCACAGCUAAUAACAUUGAUUCAAUUGACAUUGACAUAAUAGGAAUAUUUCGUCUAUUAAGGAGGAUUCCCCGAAUACCUGGAAUAGAGAUAAUCAUAGAAAAUGUGAAAUAUUUGAUAGGAUCCAUUUCGAGAACGUAGAAUGUAAGAGAAAUUCAAAUGUGAAACAAUACGUCAGCUCUUCUAUAUCCUUCAAUUAUUGAAGAAAUAUGAUUUUUUAUACUCAUGUUUCCCUUCCCAUCCUGCUCCGCCAAGUGUUGCGCUCGGGUUAACCAAGCCCUCAAGUGCCGUAAUUUAGCCUUGGAGACAUUGGGUUUGUUGGCAUUAUAGGCAGGUUUGCUGCCGAAGCGGUCAAUAAUGAUUUCCACCAUUUCACUUGGUGAUGGAAGUUCAUCCAAGUUGCGGUGCCACUUACUUAGAACAAGGCGUGCCUUCUCUGAUUCAAUUAGGGGGCUAAUCUGUUCGGCCAAGAGAUCUUUUUGUUCUUUAAUCUAUUCCAAUUCAAGUUGAUCCAAGGCUCUUUCGAUCUCGGACCGAUCCCCUGGCUCUUCUUCAGCCGCGGAUAUGUUGAGAUCAAAGGAAGGUUUUUUCGAUAAGCUAGGACCACUUCCAUCGCCUCCGACGGAAAGAGGAAUUAUAUCCAUUAAAGAAAGCCAAAAAUCCAGGAAGUCACUAAGAAAUGAAGUAAGGAAAACGGAUUCAAAAGAAAAGUCCCAAUUACAGUUUAAAAGGAUAGGAGUAAGUAAAAGGACAGUGAGACUGAGAAAAAUUCGUUUCAAAAGAGAGAAAAACAAAGCUGACGUUCGUUCUCUUCCUCUGUGCAUCUCUGUGAUGGGGCUCAUCAUAAGCUUUUUUUUCUCAAGCUCAUCAUAAGCUUUUUUUAUCCUCUUCUUCGUGUUC